AAUAUUGGACAAUGGGCGCAAGCCUGAUCCAGCCAUGCCGCGGGAGUGAUGAAGGCCUUAGGGUUGUAAAGCCCUUUCAGUGGGGAAGAUAAAGACGGUACCGACAGAAGAAGCCCCGGCUACCUUCGUGCAAGCAGCCGCGGUAAUACGAAGGGGGCUAGCGUUGUUCGGAUUUACUGUGCGUAAAGCGCACGUAGGCGGAUUGGUCAGUUAGGGGUGAAAUCCCGGAGCUCAACUCCGGAACUGCCUUUAAUACUGACAGUCUAGAGACCGAGAGAGGUGAGUGGAACUCCUAGUGUAGAGGUGGAAUUCGUAGAUAUUAGGAAGAACACCAGUGGCGAAGGCGGCUCACUGGCUCGGUACUGACGCUGAGGUGCGAAAGCGUGGGGAGCAAACA
rnacentral:rRNA from 1 species